GAUGGAUCAGAGUAAAAUUGCACCAGCUGGGCUUUAAUUCUGGAUUGCAGACUGGUCCCUAACCCCAGCCCAAGUUUGGCAGGGGGUCAUAUGAGUGGAGAAUUAUUAGUAUUAUGGUCUUUAUGAGCGUUUUAAAUACUCUGUGUUUUUUGUAUUAAAGUGUAUACUUCUAGAAUGAGAGAUCAUGUUUGGCUUCUGUCACAAACCACGCAACAAAUUACCAAACACACACACACACACACACACACGACACAAUGCAAGGGAAGGAAAACUAUCCAUGAAAAGAUCAUCGUGUCUAUCCUGGUUGUACAGCUCUGUCAUUGAUCAAAUUAGGAUAAGUUACUUCUCUACUUCCCCAUUUAUAAAAAUGAAUAUACUGAUGCAUGUUUCAUAAGAAUCAUUUAAACAUUAUCUGGGAUAUAACUCAAUUGAUUACAAUUAGAUCUGAAUAGUGGGUCAAAUGCAUAUGUUUCUCUGGAGAGAAAUAAAUGUAUAUAAGCACAAAUCAGGAAGUUCAGUCAUUAUCACCUAACUCACCAAAGAGGAAAUGCUUCCUCUUAAGUUUCUCGUGAGCUGCAAACACAGUGGAGUUAAGAGAGCAGGGGAUUUCUCAUUAGUGCUUAUGUGGGAGAUCAGGAGAAGAAAAAGACUACAGCUAGGUAUAUGGAAGGAAAAGAGAGAGGUAAGGAUAGGAAGAAGAAGAAGGGAACUCCCUUCAGAAAAUGUCUUCAGCUUUUGGGAUACUUUUCACAAUUUUUCUCCCUUUCACAGCUGCAUCUCCAGAAGUAACACUACUUUAGAGGAAGAAUAAAACUUCAGUGUGCAAAGGUUGCAGGGAAGCCAGCUUGCACAGAUUUUCUAAGCCCCAGAAGAUUGCAUCACUGAGCAUGAAUCUAAGAUUAACAGGGCAGUGACUGUCCAGAACACAUGCCACUGGGCAGGCAACAUUGUAUAUUAUGUGACCUGCUUUAUUUUACAUUUGAACAGGAGCAAGAGUCUAACCAUAGGUGAGCAGGCUUGCAGUAACUGAUCUAAUUAUCUUAACUUCUUCCCAAACAAGUGUCAUCACCUAUUGACAUACUUGGUUAUCACCUCAGGAAAUUCUAAUUGACUUACAUUGAAUUUUUUCAUUCUGUCUUAUUUCCUCUUUCAAGUUUUCCUUUGCCUUCUGUCUUAUUAUUGGCCUGAGGUAGAUUUUCUCAGAUAAAAUUCACUCUAUUUUUUUUAAUCUCUUUAUUGGUUCGUAGUCCAUUCUGACAGUGCAUUUUAAGUAUUAGGUUGUUGUGUCACCACUUAAUUUUCUUUUUGAUUAUGUCUAAUCAGGUUUUUAACCUACCCACUGAGAUAUGAUUCCAAUAAUUGUAUUUUUCUUUUUAAAAAGUUUAGUUCUUUCAUUUUAUUUCCUUUUUCCUCUUUUCUUUUUUAACCAUGUUAAUCACAUGUUAUUUUCCAUAGUGGAAAACCAUAGUGGUUUUCACACUGUCUCAUUAUUUCUAGUUAUCGUGUUGCCAAUUCUGGUGGUUGCUGUAAUAGAAAAACAGAAUUAUAGAAGAGGUAGUGACCAUUAAAUGGUAAAUGGGAGUGAGAAGGAUUUAGAGAGUACUUUGUACAGGGGAUAAAAUUUGAAUGAGGUCUGAAGGAUAGACUGAACUUUAAAAAGUUAAUUAGGCUGACAAAGUAAAAGAGGGCAUUUUAUUUUAUUUAUCAAUAACAGCAAUAGUUGAUUUACAGUGUGCUAGUUAGUAUCUGCUGCUCAUCAAAGUGAUCCAGUUAUAUAUACACAUAUAUCCACUUUUUUAUAGAUUUUGUUA
rnacentral:lncRNA from 1 species